GAUCAAGCGGGAAAAUGCGAGAACUCAUGCGAAGAGACUACGAAUCUGGGGGUCAGAGGUUCGAAUCCUUUCGGGCGCGCCA
rnacentral:tRNA from 1 species